CAAUGAGCUGAGAAAAGAGUGGCCAUUUUUAAAUUUUGCUAGUUGAAAGAACGAAUUUUAAGCUCCACCUAGGACCAUUUACUUAUUCCGAUUGUGGAUCUGUCCGCCCUGCUCAAGUUUUUGGUCAUGGUACUUUUUUUUUGAGGUUACACAUCUACCAUUUGACAUGAUUAUUAUGAUUUUAAUGUCAAAUCAGUAACAUUGAAAAUGAUGGUGUGAGUUUGGCAUUAGUGUUACAUGGACGAAUUCUUGUCAAUAGAUGAAUUAAGUCCAUGAAACUGUUUUGUUAGGGUAAACAAUGGUUAAAUGAUGCCUCUGAAUGAAUAGUUUGAGGCACGAUAUUUUGUGUGAACAAAGCCAACAAACUUCAAAUGGGAAUGUAGUGAAAAGGUGUAUAUCAAUGGAACGUGGAUAACAUAACUUGUCAAACAAGAACAGAUUUUCAACAUUCACUUUCGUUAUAAACUUACUUGGUUCAGUAGGGAAGUAGCCGCAAAUCCAGUCAAUUUUGUGUCAUUUCCUUCAUUUGUUGUGUAUUCAUUUGUCCUGUGAAGAACGAGAACAAAAUGAUACAACAAUUCGUCAUAACAGACCAGAUGACAGAAUUUAAUAACAAUGGUCACCGUCAGACUUUCAACAAUGAGCUAAGCCCAUAUCACAGUCUACUAUAAAAGGUCCCGAAAUAACUAAUGUAAAUGAGAUAAAACUGACGGCCCAAUUUAUGUAAAAAAUAAUGAAUGAAAAUGAAAUAUGUAACAGCAACAAACGAGGACCACUGAAUAAUAGGCUCCUGACUUUGGACAGGCACUUGCAGAAUAAGGCAGGUUUAAACAUGCUCCCAAUCAUGUGACAAGUGGUUCAUCAGAACAGUACAAGACAUUCCUGAAAAAAUCUCAAAUGAAAACAUCAUUUUGCCUGUUCCAACCCCCAAGUUUCUUGAUUUGUAGUCUUAGACCUUUAAAGUAAUUGAAAUGAAGGCUGAACAUGAUUAAAUUUUGUUUAACUGUACAAUAUUGUGAUUGAAAAUAUGAAACAAUGUUAUACUCCACUUAAUUGCAUUCUGUUUUGUCAUUGAACGCAAGAUAUCCAUAAGUAUUAACGUUAUUAGGGUGAAUGGUUUAUCAACUACAUUUGUUUACUUUCAGGUCUAAGUAGAUGUUGCCAUCGUUUAUUUUUAAGACUCCAAUUGAUGUGUUCAGCUAUAGACCAAGGUAUUGCAACCAUGUGUUCAGUUGAGAACUCCUAUUGAUGAUGAUGAAGAUGAUGAAAAUGAUGAUGAUGAAUUAGCGUGGUCACGUGAUCAAAAGUCUUAGUUUGACCAGGUACCAUGCUUUCGACUGAAAACAUGGCUGUUUUAACAACAACAUGUUGUCAUGGUGAACCAACACGACUUACAACAACAGCAACACAAAGCAACAACAACAUUUUGUCAUCCAGGGCUCAACUUUGGGAACUAUCUUUGAGGAAGAAAGAGGAAGAAGAAGAAUUGGUGUCGACUGCGUGGAAGUCUCCAUGGUGACCAGGCUAGGCAUCUGUAUGGUAACCACUGUUGAGGCUUUGGUGGCUCCUCUAUGAGAACAUAUUUUGUAAUAUCUUAGACUUGGCAAUGAUCCAAUUUAUCCAAAGACAUGAAAUUGCAUGGAUUGAAUUGUUCAGUUGAGGUUUUGAAAAUAUUAAAAGAAAAAAAUCUA
rnacentral:lncRNA from 1 species